AUUGAACGCUGGCGGCAUGCCUUACACAUGCAAGUCGAACGGCAGCACGGGUGCUUGCACCUGGUGGCGAGUGGCGAACGGGUGAGUAAUACAUCGGAACAUGUCCUGUAGUGGGGGAUAGCCCGGCGAAAGCCGGAUUAAUACCGCAUACGAUCCACGGAUGAAAGCGGGGGACCUUCGGGCCUCGCGCUAUAGGGUUGGCCGAUGGCUGAUUAGCUAGUUGGUGGGGUAAAGGCCUACCAAGGCGACGAUCAGUAGCUGGUCUGAGAGGACGACCAGCCACACUGGGACUGAGACACGGCCCAGACUCCUACGGGAGGCAGCAGUGGGGAAUUUUGGACAAUGGGCGAAAGCCUGAUCCAGCAAUGCCGCGUGUGUGAAGAAGGCCUUCGGGUUGUAAAGCACUUUUGUCCGGAAAGAAAUCCUUGACUCUAGUACAGUCGGGGGAUGACGGUACCGGAAGAAUAAGCACCGGCUAACUACGUG
rnacentral:rRNA from 1 species